rnacentral:rRNA from 1 species
UGGGGAAUUUUGGACAAUGGACGCAAGUCUGAUCCAGCCAUGUCGCGUGCGGGAAGAAGGCCUUCGGGUUGUAAACCGCUUUUGUCAGGGAAGAAACGAGUUUCUCUAAUACAGAGACUUAAUGACGGUACCUGAAGAAUAAGCACCGGCUAACUACGUGCCAGCAGCCGCGGUAAUACGUAGGGUGCGAGCGUUAAUCGGAAUUACUGGGCGUAAAGCGUGCGCAGGCGGUUAUAUAAGACAGAUGUGAAAUCCCCGGGCUCAACCUGGGAACUGCAUCUGUGACUGCAUGGCUAGAGUACGGUAGAGGGGGAUGGAAUUCCGCGUGUAGCAGUGAAAUGCGUAGAUAUGCGGAGGAACACCGAUGGCGAAGGCAAUCCCCUGGACCUGUACUGACGCUCAUGCACGAAAGCAUGGGGAGCAAACA